CCGCCCGCCCGGCGCCCCCCCCGCCGCCCGGCAGCAGCAGCAGCAGCGCCUCAGACCCGCCACCCCAUCGCUGGAUGUUCCUCCACUUUACCCACCGUAUCAAACAACUUUUACCAGUAAAUAUCGGUUUAUUCCUGAAACCAGAAGCCCUAAACAUACCUUUGUUUAUAAGUUUUCCUGCUCUGCACCUCUGGGAACUGGAGCCCGCAGGACCUAGAGCCUUCUGUUGGUAACGUAGACCCGAGUUUACAAGUUAUUCUUUUGCCAUUUUAAAUCCUGCUUUUAAGGACAGAGGUGGUGUUCCCUCCUGUCCACCACGGGGAGUGAUAGAAACCCCUGCCAAAUGCCUAAAUUGCUCCUCCUCUCCGAAGCCUGCGGCCUGGGUGGUUCUGAUUGCUGGCAGUUCUGUAAUACAACCUUAAUCUGAGCAGUUGAGGCUGGUCCUACCUUAUCUUCAGACGUCUUGCGGAGGACUCCUGUUACCAGUUUGGUACUCAAAAGCUCCACCCCACCAUCAGAAGUCACUUUUUGUUUUUUUCCAAAGGCAGUGAUAGCUCACCCUCUCUAGCUCUAAUGGAAAACAUGAUAAUUGCAAUGCAACUUUCUAAUAAAUUGUUCGUAUAUUCAUAAUUCCGUUGCAAUCCCAAAUUGGAGAAGAGAUCUGUUAAAGUGCACUGGUGUACCAAGGCUCAGAACCACUGCUUUCUCCAGCUCAUAGGAUGCUUUUCCAGACUGUGGAUACGUGUAUGUGUACUGCUGUGUUGAUAAGUAAAAACCAACGAUGGAGUUCGUUGCUUUUAUACAUCCCAAAGAGAAGUUCUCCACCGUUCCCUGUCUGUUUUCUGACCGAAAAGGCGUGUUUGUGAACAGUGUUCACGCGAGCUCUGCCAUCCCACCCUCACAUCAGCUCACACCAAUGCCAGGAUGGGAGGAGUUGCCAGCGGACCUGCCCCAAAAACACCCCCGGGGCCGCAGUGGCAUCGUCAGGGAGCAGUUCAAACCUGUGUCCUUUGGGCUUUGUGUAAAGCAAACGCAGAACAAAAAAUCGAGAUGUUAAAUCCAUUAGAGAACCAAUUCCUUAUUGUACAGUAGUAUGGAGAUCUCUAGUCAACCUGCCAUUAAUAAUAGAUUCUUAUUUUUUGAAUGAUCUAUUUAAAAGAACAGCAAGCAUUGUAUUUGCUAGUAAAUCUGAAGUGUUUACAUGGAAUUACUAAAUAAAUUAUUUGAUCUAA